CGCCUUGCCAGCCCGCUCAGAAACUCAAAGGAAUUGACGGGGCCCGCACAAGCGGAGGAGCAUGUGGUUUAAUUCGAUGAUACGCGAGGAACCUUACCUGGGCUCGAACGUAAGAUGACUGUAGGUGAAAGCUUACAUCUCUUCGGAGCAUUUUACGAGGUGCUGCAUGGUUGUCGUCAGCUCGUGCCGUGAGGUGUCGGGUUAAGUCCCAUAACGAGCGCAACCCCUACCUUUAGUUGCCAUCAGGUUAAGCUGGGGACUCUAAAGGAACUGCCUACGCAAGUAGUGAGGAAGGCGGGGAUGACGUCAAAUCAGCACGGCCCUUACGUCCAGGGCUACACACGUGCUACAAUGGCCGAUACAGAGGGCAGCUACCUGGUGACAGGAUGCAAAUCCCCAAAGUCGGUCUCAGUUCGGAUCGGAGUCUGCAACCCGACUCCGUGAAGUUGGAUUCGCUAGUAAUCGCGCAUCAGCCAUGGCGCGGUGAAUACGUUCCCGGGCCUU
rnacentral:rRNA from 1 species